AUCGCUUCUCAGCCUCUUGGCUAUGAUCAAGUGUAGUAUCUGUUCUUAUCGGUUUAAUAUCUGAUACGUCCUCUAUCCGUGGACAAUAUAUUAAAUGGAUUUUUGGAGCAGGGAAAAAGAAGAAAAAUUUUUUUAAAAAAAGGAGUCCACUUCUGGACUCAGGCAAC
rnacentral:snRNA from 1 species